GAAAGUGGAGAUAAAGCACAACAUAUGGUAAUCUUGUCAAGUUGAUUAAAAUCUAUAUCACAAAAAUUAAAAGCGAUGAAAAUGCUAAUCUUGAAUUUCAAAACACAAGUUGAUCGUCACUUCAACGCUUCACCUAAGUUGUAUACGGGUAAAAUCAGGGGCAGUAUCAACCCGAUCCCCCGAAGAAAGAACGAAGGAGGAACAUGGAUCCAAGAGAUUGUAAUCGAGGUCAGAGACCCCUCGUAUCGAGACCCAGGAAGAGUGAACGAUAUAUCGGACAUGGUAAAGCGACGCGCCCGGGUCGAGUGUAAGUUCUAGAUCUCGGGAGACACGGUGAACGGUUAUGCAUGAUGGAUAGAGGGUCGUAAUACUCGCCCUCAACCGGAUAUCAAUGCGCGAAUUUCGCUCGAUGUCGAUUAUGGAUGAACAAUUAUCGAGAAAGGAAGAUUUUUACCUUUUUUAGAUUAUACUAUGACUGAACCUCUCCUAUUAUAUAAAGGAAAAAAAUUUCUUUAGUCUGACCAUUGUAAGACGCAAUUCAAUGCAAUAAAAGUUUAUUUUUA